CUGUUGCCAAGAGAUGAGGACAACACAGAGAAAGGAAAAGCUUCUGUUUGUCACAACUAGCUGACUAGAGCACUUUUUCCCUAGGGGUGUGCUUAAGUCAGCUCACAAGGAGUGAAGAAGGGCCAGGUUUGAUCCAUCAAGUGCUGCCACUGACAGUCUUUCUUCCAGAACGCUUUGAUGUACCGGUAAAACACUACUGUAUUAUCAGCAGCACCAGAAACAACAGCAAAGAGGUUCUGUUGCUAAGGAGAUGGACAAAGCAAGAAAGGACACAGCCAGCAUGAAGAAAUCAAGAGGCACUGGAGCAAAUCAGAUGGUAUCACUCUGACAGAUUAACAGAGAGAAAUUUUCCCACCCUGCUCUUUAUGAAGUUUUAGCAACUUUAAAUGACAGAAGGAACACAGAGGAAAGGAAACAGCAUGAACAAGAAAUAAGCUGUCACCCUAACUUCUUUCCACCACCAUAAAACUAGUUCCUUGAUCAAAAUCAUACUCUUCAAGAAUGUUGCUCAGUUAAUGCAGCCUUCUGAGAACAUCACCAUGUAGAAAUGUCCCGGGCUAAGAAACCUGGUACAACAGCACCCACAUAUUUUGUAUUUAAGUGGCAAUUGAGGUGUGUGUGUGUGGUGGGGAAGCAGCAAGUUGUUAAGACCAUCAGGGCAAGUCUAAGCUUUGACUACGUUAAGGGAGUUUCCCUGCAUUGAGAGCAGUUACAAGGAAAUGUUAGCUAAGUAAGAAGUGUCACAUUAGACAUGCUUCAUUUUAACUCAAAACACGUUAUGGUAACAGUGUUGGGUGUUUUUUUAGUCCUGCUUCCAAGCUCUCUGAAGAAGUGCAUGGUAUUAAACCAAUAUAUGUCAACCAACCUCUGGAGUUGAUUCCUUUGAAUGAUGGCUACACCACAGCCAAAUGCCCACCUGAUU